GUUGUAGACAUCCGUUUAAACCACGAAACCCCGAACUUUGUAGCAUGCAAAACACAUGGUUAGAAGCAACAGAAAAUCAUGAAAAUUUACCACAAAAAAGCUUUAACCAUUCUUAUGAAGCAUGCAUAAAAUCAGAUUCAAAUUCGAAGUAUUUGUUUUUUUACAUUAAAAAUACACCCGGAACACAAUCAAUGUCCACUCGUGACAGACUGAAAAAAAAUGUUUUGUCUAUAUAAGGGGUAGGCACUCUUCUGAGCCUACCCUCAGUACCCGAAGGGGUAUGUAGUGUU